GCUGAUCUUAUUCUUUAUUUCUCCUCAUGGAUCCAAUCUUCCACUUCACUGAAGAAGGUAAGCAAGAUAAUCACAAGACAAACAUUUAUAUCCAAACAAGUUUUCCUACAACUAAUAGAUAAAAGAAAUCCAUUUCACUCAGAGUUAAUCCUUCAUGGGUGUCUUCAUCUUAAAUGAUGCAGACUGCUCAGCAAAGCUCAAUCAAUUAAACAACUGCUGAGUUUAGCCUGCAAUGAUAAAAUUGUGCAAAAGCAAGAUUACAUCUCCUGUUUCAUGAGAUGUCUGCGCGAUCAAGCAUAUCUACCAAAGUCAUCCUUCUAGGGAAUCUAGGUGGCAGUCUUAGAUACAUGGCAUCUUCAAUCUCAAUUGGCAGAUGUGUUGCAACAAACACAAUCCCUCCCUUCUUUCUAUGCUCUGCAAUAAUGCACUCGAGCAACUUCACCCCCUCAUCAUCUAAUGCAACAGAAGGCUCAUCCAGCAACCAAAUUGGCCGAUCAAUAGCCACCAACCGCGCCAGCUGCAGCCUCUUCCGCUGGCCCAUCGACAGCAUUCUCGCCUUCUCUUUUGCCAAUCUUCCAAGCCCCAUCAACUCAAGGGCGGGUAGAGAAUUCCCUUGCUUGCCUUCAAGAAUCUCAAACCAUUGAACAUUGUCAAGGACAGUAAACUUUUCUUUGAUAGCAUCUUUCAGGGAGAGCCAGUUGAGAUGAAGCUUAUACUGGUGGAAGACUCCAGAUUCUGUCACAUCAUGACCAUUCCAAAGGAUCUGACCAGCAGAUGGCUUAGAGAAUCCAGCUAGCAUUCGCAAGAAAGUGGUUUUGCCUGAGCCAUUGCUGCCUGUCAGAACAAGAGCCCCUCCAUCAUGAAUGGAGACAUUUACAUGUCGCAAGAUUUGUUGGGCAUUUCUCAUGCAUGAGACAUUAUCCAGGAGGAUUCGAGGAAGUGGUGGUUUUCGAAGAGACAUUGAGCUUUAAGAAAUUAAUAAAAAUAAUGACAAUGCUUGAUAUUUUGCAGUUCUAAAGGUGAUCUCUAGAAACCCAACCAACCAAGUCUCAGUUAAGAUCUUGCAGCACAGUGUUCGCAAUUGCCACCAUCUCAAAAGCCCUAUAAUAAUUUCAAUAUGAGGGGAAAAAAUCAGACAUAAAAAUAAAAAAAAGAACCUGGCAACAUAUAAUAAUGAAAAAUAUUAGUUUCAAGGUGGACAGGAAGAAAUAAAAGAAAAUAACAUCAGAAAGUUAACCAAACCAUGGAAGCAUACAGCAAAGUGUUUUUAACACAAGCCUCAACCAUAUAAACAAGUUUAGCAAAGAAUUAACAAAAUUGGUCUCAAGGAAGACACUCUAGCGUUAAAGGCUUGGGAUUUCCUCUAGAAGAUCUCAGCUUCAAUCCUAUUGGGACGGGGCUGCUUCUAGAAUUGAUGAGAAUGAAUGGGAUCAUGUUCCCCAUCAUUCCUUGAAGAUGCAAUCCAGUUUUAUAUGAUUCAUGAAUAAAGCUAAACAACUUUAUACUAAAAAAUAAUAUAUAGAUUUUCCUUAUUUUCUAAGUUAGAAAUGAACAACUGGGAGCCGAAGUUGAGAUUAGUUAGGGUUAGACCAACAAGUGUUGAAGAAAACAUUGGAAUACUGCAGUAAUUCUUGUUCAUCUGAAAAUCAUAAGACUAAGAUUCUGCAGAAAAAUCUUCAAAAUAAACUUCAAAAGGGCACAACUGAACAAAAUGUGAAAUCUUUAAGACAUUAUUGCCAUUUUCAACUUUGCCAGCUCAAGUCUCAGAUGCAUUGGGCUGGGGAAAAAAACUUGGUAAUAAAUGAUAUGACAAUGAAUGAUUUUACCAGUUACUAGCAGAUGCUUCCAGUAUUUGUGCCAGCCAAUUGUCAACCCCUCAAGUAUCAAAUCCCUAAAAGUUUCAAAAAAAAAAGUACAUUGAUUCACUGAGGCAAAUAAUCAAACAUCUUAUAUACACUACUUAGCCAAAAAGCUUCAUUCAAAUCACAUAAUUAAACAAAAAUUGAGUGAUGGGGAGACAGACCAGUAUGGCACUUAGAGAACUACCACUUGAGAAAGUAUUUGCUAAUUUCAGAUGGUUGCUUCUCAAU
rnacentral:misc_RNA from 1 species